rnacentral:rRNA from 1 species
UACGUAGGCAGCAAGCGUUGCUCGGAGUUACUGGGCGUAAAGGGUGUGUAGGCGGUUGUUUAAGUUUGGUGUGAAAUCUCCCGGCUCAACUGGGAGGGUGCGCCGAAUACUGAAUGACUAGAGUGCGGGAGAGGAAAGUGGAAUUCCUGGUGUAGCGGUGAAAUGCGUAGAUAUCAGGAGGAACACCGGUGGUGUAGACGGCUUCUGGACCGUAACUGACGCUGAGACACGAAAGCGUGGGUAGCAAACAGG